UACGUAGGGGGCUAGCGUUGUCCGGAAUCAUUGGGCGUAAAGCGCGCGUAGGCGGUCAGGUAAGUCUGGUGUGAAAGUCAAAGGCUCAACCUUUGAAUGCCGCUGGAUACUGCCUGACUUGAGUCCGGAAGGGGCGAGUGGAAUUCCUGGUGUAGCGGUGGAAUGCGCAGAUAUCAGGAGGAACACCGAUGGCGAAGGCAGCUCGCUGGGACGGUACUGACGCUGAGGCGCGAAAGCUAGGGGAGCAAACGGG
rnacentral:rRNA from 1 species